rnacentral:rRNA from 1 species
AGUGAACGCUGGCGGUAGGCCUAACACAUGCAAGUCGAACGGCAGCACAGGAGAGCUUGCUCUCUGGGAGGCGAGUGGCGGACGGGUGAGGAAUACAUCGGAAUCUACUCUGUCGUGGGGGAUAACGUAGGGAAACUUACGCUAAUACCGCAUACGACCUACGGGUGAAAGCAGGGGACCUUCGGGCCUUGCGCGAUUGAAUGAGCCGAUGUCGGAUUAGCUAGUUGGCGGGGUAAAGGCCCACCAAGGCGACGAUCCGUAGCUGGUCUGAGAGGAUGAUCAGCCACACUGGAACUGAGACACGGUCCAGACUCCUACGGGAGGCAGCAGUCGGGAAUAUUGGACAAUGGGCGCAAGCCUGAUCCAGCCCUACCGCGUGGGUGAAGAAUGCCUUCAUGUUUUAAAGCCCUUUUGUUGGGAAAGAAAUCCAGCUGGCUAAUACCCGGUUGGGAUGACGGUACCCAAAGAAUAAGCACCGGCUAACUUCGUGCCAGCCGCCGCCGUAA